UAAAAUAAUACCUCGUUGGUUUAUAUAUUGAGUCGUCUUAACUAACUAACCACGUCGUCUUAACUAACUACCGUCAUGAUAAAUAUAUUAUAACGUCCUCAUCUAUUUCAGUACGUCGUGUGAAAUAUUAUAAUACGUCAUUUUUUUAUACAUAACCGUCGUGUUUUUUUGUGCUGACUUGUUUAUAUUAUUUUAUGUAUUUAGGUACUUACACGAUGUUUUGAAACAAGCCAAUAUGUGCAGCAUGGUUGG
rnacentral:lncRNA from 1 species